rnacentral:rRNA from 1 species
UACGUAGGCAGCAAGCGUUGUCCGGAAUCAUUGGGCGUAAAGCGCGCGUAGGUGGCCUCAUAAGUCCGCUGUGAAAGUCAAAGGCUCAACCUUUGAAAGCCGGUGGAUACUGUGAGGCUAGAGUACGGAAGAGGCGAGUGGAAUUCCUGGUGUAGCGGUGGAAUGCGCAGAUAUCAGGAGGAACACCAAUAGCGAAGGCAGCUCGCUGGGACGUUACUGACACUGAGGCGCGAAAGCGUGGGAGCGAACAGG